rnacentral:rRNA from 1 species
UACGUAGGGUGCAAGCAUUGUCCGGAUUUAUUGGGCGUAAAGAGCUCGUAGGCGGCUUGUCACGUCGGGUGUGAAAACUCGGGGCUCAACCCCGAGCCUGCACUCGAUACGGGCUAGCUAGAGUGUUGCAGGGGAGACUGGAAUUCCUGGUGUAGCGGUGAAAUGCGCAGAUAUCAGGAGGAACACCGGUGGCGAAGGCGGGUCUCUGGGCAACUACUGACGCUGAGGAACGAAAGCGUGGGUAGCGAACAGG